GGCCUACCAUGGUGGUAACGGGUAACGGGGUGUUAGGGCACGACACCGGAGAGGGAGCCUGAGAAACGGCUGCCACAUCCAAGGAUGGCAGCAGGCGCGCAAAUUACCCAAUCCCGACACGGGGAGGUAGUGACAAUAAAUAACAAUACGGGGUUCUUUCGGAUCUCGUAAUUGGAAUGAGUACAAUUUAAAUCUCUUAACGAGGAACAAUUGGAGGGCAAGUCUGGUGCCAGCAGCCGCGGUAAUUCCAGCUCCAAUAGCGUAUAUUAAAGUUGUUGCAGUUAAAAAGCUCGUAGUUGAAUUUCAGGCCUGGCUGGACGGUCCGCCCUUCGGGUGAGUACUGUCUGUGGUCGGGUCCUACCUUCUGGCGAAGCGUCAUGGCCUUAACCGGCCGUGGCGGGGAACCAGGACUUUUACUGUGAAAAAAUUAGAGUGUUCAAAGCAGGCAAUCGCUUGGAUACAUUAGCAUGGAAUAAUGGAAUAGGACAAUGGUUCUAUUUGUUGGUUUCUAGGACCGUUGUAAUGAUUAAUAGGGAUAGUUGGGGGCAUUAGUAUUCAAUUGUCAGAGGUGAAAUUCUUGGAUUUAUUGAAGACUAACUACUGCGAAAGCAUUUGCCAAGGAUGUUUUCAUUAAUCAAGAACGAAAGUUAGGGGAUCGAAGACGAUCAGAUACCGUCGUAGUCUUAACCAUAAACUAUGCCGACUAGGAAUCGGGCGAUGUUGAAAAAAUGACGCGCUCGGCACCUCAUG
rnacentral:rRNA from 1 species